GUCCAAAGAGGUGGCACGUGAGUCUCUUAUUGCUAUCUCUAACUCUCUGCCUGAAAAGACUCUGGAUUCAAACUCUGUGUCUGAGAGCAAGAAGUCAGAUGGGGUUGCAAUGCCAAGCCGUGAUAAAGAUGACAAAUUUAGUUAUGGAAUUUGUCAUCCUCCUUUUCAAGCAAAGAAGCUUUAAAAAAGUUUACAGUGUCACACCCAUAUGAAUGGUGAUUCUGCUGUAGAUUAUGUAAGAAAAAUAGAUGAAUGACAGCAUGAUUUUCAUAGGAAACGAACUGCUUCCUGUAACUCCAAUGCAGUCUUGUCUUAGCAUGUACUUCUAUUUUCUUGUUUCAGUUUAAAAGUGAAUCAUACAAAUAAUGCAAAUAAUUGAAUCUUUGUGAAAA